rnacentral:rRNA from 1 species
GUGUGCUUGUGCUCGUGGUAUGGUCGUCGUCUGCGUGAGCUCAUGGAAGAUCCGAGAGGCAACGGCCAACGCACUGCACGGCAGCGGGCGCGGAGGGUGGCGUCGUGCGGCCGGCUCGCGGGUACCGCAGUGGGCUCCUGUGGAAGGUGGGCGGUAAGAGGAAGUUUAAGCAGCCCUAGGCCGGACUAGGCCUACCUAGGCCUACGGCUGCCGGGUAAGGGCUGGAGGGACGGAACGGACCAAGCAGCCGGAGAGGCUACAGCAGUAGAAGCAGUGCCCUAGGUCGCGAUGGCUACCGACCGGAGGAGGAGCGGACCUACACUGGGGGGGGUGCAGCCUCGGAGGUUGUACUCGUCGUCGUCGCUUGCGGAGCUGUUCCCGCAGAAGCCACAACAGAAAUAAAAUUAAAAUAAAAUUUCUUCAAACGGUCUAGUCACCGGUCCCUUUUCGGUACCGCUACUUCAGACUAACUACAGAGCGCUCGCGAGCCACCGCGAACUACACCACCUACGUCUUAUCAUAUCGAGUCUCAUCAUCCGGUCUAGACUUUUUUUUAAUAGACAUGAAUGUAAAAACGACACAUAAAGAAGUAAAAAACUAUUUCAAUACAUAUACCAUA